AGCUGAAAGCUUAUCACUCUCUUGGAGUUAUGCAUAAAGAUCUGAAGCAUGAGAAUUUUCUUUUCCCUUUUUCUCAUGAAGAUGCUUUUGUUAAAUCUACAGACCAAACUUUUUGUAUCGUAUAUUAUACGUAUGCUUCUCCUUCUCGGAUCGGAUUAUGUCAUAGCAAGGUUUUGUUUACGUUAACUUUUUGUUAGAUUCAUUCAUGUUCUCAAUGUAGAUUCUCUGGUUAUGGAGAUUCAUUCAAAUUCAAAGUUUUGGGGCAAAUCCGUCUCUCUCAGCCUGAAUGGAACGAGAGCUUAAGAGUUGGGCAUUGUACUUCAUGAGGAGCUAUAUUCUUCACCAAGUACACAAGUGAUUUCAGGCAGCAGCUGGAAAGCAUUCAGAAGAUGAUGGAACCAUUUCCAUUGAUCGGCUUACUCACAG